CCGCCCCUUGGCCCACCCCUUGUCCCGCCCCCUGUCCCGCCCCUCUAUGAAGUACUACUGAAGUCUGGCAUCCUAUUUUUCCUAUUUUUUUGAAAAACGUGUCCUUUUGUUGGAGACUGUUUCAUCCCUCCUUUUCACUGAUAGGAAGGAAGGAAGGAAGGAAGGAAGGAAGGAAGGAAGGAAAAUAACUUUUGGGGUGUUUUUCUUUUUCUCUCUUGAAUGCCUUGAUUUGAUUUGUAACAUUCCACUAAGCCUGAGGCUGACUCCUCCUCUUUCUCACAUUCUGUUCUGUCAUUGGACUUGACCGGACUGGACUGGACUGGACUGGGUAGCUGGGCAGGUGGUGAUGUUUGGACGCAAUGUGAGAAGAGACCCCCUCAAGACCUCAGUUUAGAGGCAGCGUAGGUGUGUCUGUUUGAGAAGAGACUCCCUCAAGACCUCAGUUUAGAGGCAGUGUAGGUGUGUCUGUUUGAGAAGAGACCCCCUCAAGAUCUCAGUUUAGAGGCAGCGUGUCUGUUUGAGAAGAGACCCCCUCAAGACCUCAGUUUAGAGGCAGUGUAGGUGUGUCUGUUUGAGAAGAGACUCCCUCAAGAUCUCAGUUUAGAGGCAGUGUGUCUGUUUGAGAAGAGACCCCCUCAAGAUCUCAGUUUAGAGGCAGCGUAGGUGUGUCUGUUUGAGAAGAGAGCCCCUCAAGAUCUCAGUUUAGAGGCAGCGUGUCUGUUUGAGAAGAGACCCCUCAAGACCUCAGUUUAGAGGCAGCGUAGGUGUGUCUGUUUGAGAAGAGACUCCCUCAAGAUCUCAGUUUAGAGGCAGUGUGUCUGUUUGAGAAGAGACCCCCUCAAGAUCUCAGUUUAGAGGCAGCGUAGAUGUGUCUGUUUGAGAAGAGACCCCCUCAAGACCUCAGUUUAGAGGCAGUGUAGGUGUGUCUGUUUGAGAAGAGACCCCCUCAAGACCUCAGUUUAGAGGCAGUGUAGGUGUGUCUGUUUGAGAAGAGACCCCCUCAAGACCUCAGUUUAGAGGCAGUGUGUCUGUUUGAGAAGAGACCCCUCAAGACCUCAGUUUAGAGGCAGUGUAGGUGUGUCUGUUUGAGAAGAGACCCCUCAAGACCUCAGUUUAGAGGCAGUGUAGGUGUGUCUGUUUGAGAAGUGACCCCUCAAAACCUCAGUUUAGAGGCAGUGUAGGUGUGUCUGUUUGAGAAGAGACCCCCUCAAGACCUCAGUUUAGAGGCAGUGUAGGUGUGUCUGUUUGAGAAGAGACCCCAUCAAGACCUCAGUUUAGAGGCAGUGUGUCUGUUUGAGAAGAGACCCCCUCAAGACCUCAGUUUAGAGGCAGUGUGUCUGUUUGAGAAGAGACCCCUCAAAACCUCAGUUUAGAGGCAGUGUGUCUGUUUGAGAAGAGACCCCUCAAAACCUCAGUUUAGAGGCAGUGUGUCUGUUUGAGAAGAGACCCCUCAAAACCUCAGUUUAGAGGCAGUGUGUCUGUUUGAGAAGAGACCCCCUCAAAACCUCAGUUUAGAGGCAGUGUGUCUGUUUGAGAAGAGACCCCUCAAGACCUCAGUUUAGAGGCAGCGUAGGUGUGUGUGUGUGUUUGAGAAGAGACCCCCUCAAGACCUCAGCGUAGAGGCAGUCACCUGCAAGUUGGAGCUGGCAUCACCCCCUGACUCCCCCCUCCCCCCAUCAGAGCGAUCCUUCUACUUCUCCUCUGUGACAUGACAGACAACUUGAUGAUGGAGAGAGGGAGGAGGACGAGACAGACGACGAAGACAAAAGAGAGAAUGCACUUUGUAUCAGGUUUGCUUAAUACCUUAUUUUUUUGAAGGAAGUAUAAACACAAUGUAGCAUUAAAAUAUUUAUAACUCUGUUUUACACUGUAUAGUGUUGCGAGUUGCAGAUGGACUAAGGGGAUGGAGGGAUGGAGAGACUCUGGCCUCCUGUUGUGUGAGGCCUUGAAGGACUGAUACAAAAUGGUGGAAGAGAGAAGGGAGGGGGGGGGGGGG